ensembl:snRNA U2 U2 spliceosomal RNA
AUCACUUCUCAGCCUUUUGGCUAAGAUCAAGUGUAGAAAUUGAAGUUUAAUUAUAAAUUUUAUAUGAAAAUGACCCCAA